rnacentral:tRNA from 1 species
GGGGUUGUGGCUCAGGGGUAGAGCGCUUGCCUAGCAUGUGUGAGGCACUGGGUUCAAUCCCCAGCACCA